rnacentral:rRNA from 1 species
CUGCUUUUAUACGGGAAGAAAAAGAGCUACGUGUAGCUUACUGACGGUACCGUACGAAUAAGGACCGGCUAACUCCGUGCCAGCAGCCGCGGUAAUACGGAGGGUCCGGUCGUUAUCCGGAAUUAUUGGGUUUAAAGGGUCCGUAGGCGGGCCGAUUUGUCAGGGGUGAAAGUCUGCCGCUCAACGGUAGAACUGCCUUUGAUACUGUCGGUCUUGACUUAUAGUGAAGUUGCCGGAGUAUGUAUUGUAGCGGUGAAAUGCAUAGAUUUUACAUCGAACACCGAUUGAGAAGGCAGGUGACUAACUAUGACUGAAGCUGAGCGAAGAAAGCAUAGCGUGCGAAGAGGAUUAGAUAACAUGGUAGUCCCGCCAUAAACGAUGGAUACUAGCUGUUCGGAACCUUGAGUUAUGGGCGGCGAAA